rnacentral:rRNA from 1 species
GAUGAACGCUAGCGGCAGGCCUAAUACAUGCAAGCCGAACGGCAAGUUUGAUAGCAAUAUUGGACCUAGAGUGGCGCAAGGGUGCGUAACACGUAUGCAACCUGCCCGCGACAGGAGGACAGCUCCCCGAAAGGGGAAUUAACCCUCCAUAACACCAUGAGAAGGCAUCUGAUUAUGGUUAAACCGCAAGGGGUCGCGGAUGGGCAUGCGGUUGAUUAGCUAGUUGGCGGGGUAAAGGCCCACCAAGGCGGUGAUCAAUAGGGGUUCUGAGAGGAAGGUCCCCCACACUGGCACUGGGAUACGGGCCAGACUCCUACGGGAGGCAGCAGUAGGGAAUAUUGGACAAUGAGUGCAAGACUGAUCCAGCCAUGCCGCGUGCAGGAAGAAGGCCUUCUGGGUCGUAAACUGCUUUGUCCUGUGGAUAAAAUACCCGUGCGCGGGGAAUUGAAGGUAACAGGGGAAUAAGCCACGGCUAACUACGUG